AAAUAGUAAUCAGAAAAAUUCUUCAUGAACUCCUCCUUUCUCCUCAAACACGCCGCCGCCCUCUCCUCAAUUGCGCCGCCAGCUGCCGCGGCUGCUCCCGCUCCUCCGUCGCAGCCGCCAGCCUCCGCGGCCGCCCCCUCUCCUCCAUCGCAGCCGGCAGGCGCUGCCUCCUCCGAUUUUGGCCGACGUCGGCUGCUUCCAACGCCGCCCUUCACCGUGCGAGCUCAGCUAACCUAUCCUCUACCAAUUCCACCGUUUCUUCCUUCUACAUCCUCAACUGUGGCCUCAACUAACCCUAGCUGCAGAAGGCUCCAAUUCGUGCUCCCUGGUACUACAUCUCGAUCACGGGGCCGCCUGGCCUUCUUGCGCUAGCGCACACCCCGUCGCCUCCCCGUCCUCCCAACGCCCCGGCGCUAGCCCGCCUCUUCCAUCGCCACACUAAGAGAUUGUGGGCUAUGCUACUGCCGCCGCCAGCGGAUCUGGCCUGAAAGUUGCAGGAACACUUUGUGUAAUGCUGAAUACGAGCUCUUUCUUGAAAGAACACUAGAGUUGUCUGAUGAUGAAAUCGAACACAAGGAAAGAUACAGCACUGAACAAAGUCACAGUGACCUUGAUCUGGGAGAACCUAUGGAUGUUUUGAGAUUGUCAGAAGAUGGUGAAUUGACAAAUGAAUCGGAAAAUAGGAAUGAUAAAAUAUUGCUGAAAAAUAUGGGUGGAGUAGAGAAUUUAGACGCUCAAGCAAAACAAUAUAUUUCCCAAUGGCAGUCCCACUUAGAUUCCAUGGAAAAGGUUAUCCAACUCUCGGAACCUUCUUGUCCCGGUGUGUAAGAAGCUAUUCAUUCUGUGGUACAUGGUCUUGUAAUUCCGUCUAGUAACGCGAGACCAUGAUUUCUGUGGUGACAAUUGCCAUGCUUAGGAUUGUGAAGCUUUUGCCAGGUCGGUUGUCGUCUCCCUGCGGCCAUGAAAACGUUCUGGCUGUUCAUAUCACCUGUGGCCAUGUACACAGGAAAGAGAGUCUGUGGACUAGAGUAUAUGAGCUCCUGUUCUCAGUCGCCACAAAAGCUCAUGGCGGUCGAGUUGCCUGCGAGUGGCGGGUAGCUCAUGUGAAGUUAGGAGGUGGUGUUUCUUUUCGCUUCCUCGUGCUGAGCAUAUGCUCUGCUAGUUUGUCUAGCAAUCAACCUCUGCGACUCUUUUGUCAUCUGUAAAGUUUGGUUAUCUAUAACUUUGGUUGUAUCAGACUGCCAGACUGUAUGAAGUUGAAUCCCAUUGGUUAUUUGUAUUUUGUAACUUGAAGGGCGUUCCGAGAAA